CGGAGCUUGCAGUGAGCUGAGAUCCGGCCACUGCACUCCAGCCUGGGCGACAGAGUGAGACUCCGUCUCAAAAAAAAAAAAAAAGAAAAAGAAAAAGAAAAUAACAGUAUCUUACAUGGUGAAAGUGAAGCCAGCCUGCUCCCACCAGAGCCCAGCAAUGGCCAGUAAGAGAACAGUGAUGGGUUUAAGGAAGAGGACACAGGAAGCAGAAGAGAAGAGGGAAAAUUCAGUUUCAUCUGCCAAGAUUGACCUAUACAUUCCAGAAUUGCUUCUUGGCUCCUGGAACAUCGUGUGCAGGAAGAGAACAGAGACAGCAAAGCCAUGGAGUCAGCCCAGCUGAGGGAAGAUAGGUCUCCAGCGACUGGGUCACCUGGCCCUGGGAAGCGCGACCUGGGGAAGACAGGUCUCCAGUGACUGGGACAUCUGGGAAGAGAGGUCUCCAGCGACCGGGGCAUCUGGCCCUGGGAAGCACGACCCGGGGAAGACAGGUCUCCAGUGACUGGGACAUCUGGGAAGAGAGGUCUCCAGCGACCGGAGCAUCUGGCCCUGGGAAGCACGACCCGGACUCUGCUUCUCAACAUAGCACAGCCUUCCUCACUUGGACAUACAGGGUGCACCUGUCAGGAGGAGGUGCCAACCAGGUCUCCUGAGUGACCUGGCCUGGUGAUCUCCUGUGGAGUCAAAGUCCUUCUAUCCCCCCACCCCACCCCACUUUCCAAGUAAGGAAAUCCAAGGUCAUAGAUCCUAUACUUCACGCCUCCUAGUUUCUGAGCCACAAGCUUCUGGCUGUGUUGGGGCUGGGGUGCAUGCUUCACUAGCAGGAGCUAGUUCUACCUUGAAAGACGAGCUGGCUUCUGAGCCCCAGGACUGAAAGCAGGGAGGGUGCAGUUCCCAGAGGCCUCCAAGUGCCCGCCCAGCCCAUGGGUGUGCAGCUGGUGGCUCCCUGAGAACAUUAGCCACCCUGCAAAUGCCCAGGAAGGCAGAGGCUAAAAAUACACGUAGUGCCCAGGUCCAGGAAUGCAGGCCCCGCCGUUCAUUCCUUGGUGUCCUGCCCAAAGUGGAGGGCACUUGGGAGAGGUCUGAGAAGGCAAGCAGUUGUGCCAGGCCUAAGUCGACCUGGACAUUCACUGGCAUGGCUUGUUUUCCAGGCUGGGGCACGAGUAUCCAAUUCCUCCACUAUAAGCAGCUCUUCACUGUGCACAGGUCUGAACAGCCCACCCACCUGGUUAUCACCAGGCUUUAGACCAGCGAGCCCAAGGAUCUAGAGGAACAAGCUGGGGCUUCUGGGAAACCCUGGGCCAGCUGGACUACCUGCCUCAGUUUCUCUGUUUGCCUGCCCAUCUCACUGGCGUACUUGAGGACCCCAGAAGAUCAUGCCUGUGAGGGUAACCAGGGGCUACUCUGGAGGAACAUGUAGGAACUAGGAGCUUGCCGCGGUCCCCAGUGACAGGUGGGAAGACACGGAGGCAGGACCCUGCUCUACGUUGCAUCACCCGUCUAGCUGGGGUGGCACAGGCCAGCAUCCUGCAGCAGGUAAGGGUGCCCCCCCACAGAAAACCAUCAUGUGACUCUAAUGUCUUCCUGAGCAGGAAUGACUGGCACAGCCAUUGGUCUCCCAGGUGUCAUUGCUCAGCAGGAGCCACACGAAACAGCUGAGUUAAUUCUGAGGGGGUUAACGAUGGGUGGUCCACAGAUAAAAUAAGUCAGUGGUCUGAAGUAUGGUCGAGUGCUGGUGAGACACGACUCAACCGUCCCCCUCCCCUCAUUCAGAAUCUGGCACAGGAGAGGGGACUAGGGAAGCCCUGCAGGCCUCAGGCCUUCCUCAGGCCCCCUCCCCUGAGGAAGACCCUCUAACCGCACAGGUGCAACAGUGGCAGCCGGGAGGGAGCUGAGGAGGGCACAGGUGCACCUGGUGGGGAGGCUCAGCGCCAGCUUUGCUAGGAGGCCUUCCAGGCAGGGAAUGGGACAGUGAGGCCCAGGGAGGGUGUUCGGGGCACAGGGAACCACAGGGGUGGUUGGACAGUAAGGUGAAGAGGGAGGGCUGAGUCGAUCUUGCACAAUCGGAAAUUCUCAUGGAGGUCUGACCUGCUCUCUUUGAAUCCAGUUAAAAUCCAUUUCCUCCUGCACGGGGCUCUGCAGGGCUGUUUUCCCAGGAGGCUGGACGAGCACCAGUGGGUUGAAGUUCAGGCAUCCUCAGACCCUCUUCCCUCUUCCAAUCCGUCUCCCCCUCCUGCCUCCUGUCCCCUUUCCACCUCCCUUUCUCCCCUUCCCACCCCAACAGCCGAGUUUCCCGGCGUGAUGAACCGUGUGUGAUGGGAAGUUCCUUGGAAAAUAAAAGAGGAGCGUGUUAAACUCCAGCACCUAGCGGGCACCCUCGGCCCAACUUCCAGGUGCAGCUGGAGGGACAGCCGGGCGGAGCUGAUGAGAACCUGGGCAGACCCAGACACCAGCUUUCGAAAUGUCAGAUUCUGAUAGGGCCAGCCCUGGCACUGCCACCUCAGAAUGCAGGACAAAAUGCUGAGAGAUCCUGGUGGAACAGAAGACGGCCGUCAGCGGGAGGCCAGUAGCUUUUCUCUCCCGGUGACUGUGAGGGGCCCCUGGCCUUUAGGGGCUCAGGAAUGGCUGGAGUGGGGGCAGCAUUCGCCAGCCCUGUGUUCUACUUGGAUAGAAAGUAAAUGAUGAAAGGCCUCUUCUAAGUCAGUCCACCACUGUCUUACUAAGUGUCCACCAGUCCAGUCCCACUGCUCUGUGCCAGACCUGGUACCCAAGCCGGCCACGCAUUUCCUCCCCGAACCCCUCCACAGCCCUCCGGAUAUGGUGCUGCACCUUCCAAGAGGAGGAAACCAGGCACUUAGCCUGGGCUAGGUGACAGCCAGCAUCAUACGGCCAGCACAUAACAGGGCUGGGAUUCUUGGCUGAGUCUGCCGGCUGCUAACCCUGGGUGCUCAAUGUCUGGGCCUCCUCCCUGGUGGUCCUCUGUGCUCAGCCUUCAGGUUGGGGGUGGCGGGGGUAGUGAACGGCAGGCGGGGACAAAGCCCAGACUUGAUUUCUGCACUUGGAGCUCAUGCUCUGCAGAUGUCCAGAUGGAGACCAACCUGAGGCUGGCGCUGGGCAUGAGGGAAGGAAGCAGCGUCUUCUUCAAGGGUCUCUCCUCUUAACAUUGUAUCCUCUCUUGACUCCAUCCAAAGGAUGCCGGGUGCGUCCUAGAGAGUUGCCAUGGUUACUCGAGGCCUACGGGCGCGUCCCAGCCAGGCUGGGCACUUGUCUUUACGCCUGCCUGAUGCCGCAUGAGCGCCUGCUGGGCAGAGCCACAGCCCGAGAAUGAGGUCAUGUAAAUAAAGGAGCAGUGCAGAUGUCGGGAGAGGUGUGCCAGGCUUUCCAAAGCCUGUCCUCACCUGGCAGCGCCGCCGGGGACCCUCGUCCAUGCACCAAGACAUCCUCGCUGUCAGAUGGAAAGCAUUCUGCCAGGGCACGUGGUUAUUUUUACUCGCGUUCAGUUCCGACUUGUUAACACCGUAAUCCUUUCCUUAUGUCGCUGCCUUCACCACCCUGAGCGCACAGGCUGGAUUGAGGCUCUGUGUGGCAAGAAAUUAUGUGCAUCGGAAGCCGGCAGGCACCCACACAGGCCCACCGAGGCAGACCCUGGCGGUGAAGCCCAUAACUGGGUAUGUGGCAGUGUGUGCAGCAGAAGGGAUAAAGCAUGGGCCAGGUGAGAAGAAGGCGUGCCAGUGCAGGGUUGCCCCAGGCUUUUCCAACAGGUCCCAGGAGCUGGAUGGGGAGGAUGGCGCCUGAGACAUUUCUGGUGGCUCAUCUCGUUGAUACGAGCAGUCGCGGAUGGACACGAAUAUGUGUUUGUCUUUCCCAAGCACCAGAACAUGGAAACCCCAUUAGCCCUGGGAGCCUGGUUGCAUUCGGGGCAGAGCGUGUUUACAAAUGGCCUUCCCCACACACCGUGGAACCUCGGAAUCUGGCCCUUCUGUGCUGGGUUGAACCGGAACUCAUGCCUUAUUUAUGUAUGUGUCUAACAGCUUUAUUAAGGUUCUUUAUUUAUUACAUUCUGUAAUAGUCACCCAUUUGAAGUGUACAGUUCCGGCUGGGCAUGGUGACUUAUGCCUGUAAUGCCAGCACUUUGGG